AUCACAGCUGAGGCCUCAACAGCUUGUUCCCAUUUUCCACUGUCUGUGGACUUCAUCCGUUCACUCCACGACUGUGAGUGGAACUGUUUGCUGGUGUCUGUCUCCUGAAGAUCGUGGCUUCUCUCCAACAAACUUACUUUACCUUCUGCAUGCAGUAACUUGACUGUGGUAGGACAUUGUUGGUCUAAGCCAUUUGCAGCUUGCAGAAAUGUCUGACAGGAACCUGCAUAAGAACUCCUGAGAGAUGUGUAAAUGAUGUGAAGCGUCUCCCUGUGGUCAGCCCACAGGGCCAGUUGUGUAACUCGCAUGUUUAUUCCCACCGCUGCUUUGUGAAUGUAUUUAAAAAAAUAAAUAAAUAAAUAAAACACACCUUUUUUGAAAUAGCCUCGAUACAAGAGUGUGUUGAAGGGCUCCGCGUACUGACUGUCUCCUACCUUGUUUAUGCUGAAGAUCAGUACAUCGGCGCCCCUUGAACUCUUAAAAUGAAAAGGUUUUCAAAGACUCAUGAAUUGCACAGUAAAGUUCAGGCGAACGGGGUCCUUGUAUCAGCGCCCCCCCCCUCCUUUAUUUUUUUUUUAUUUUUGCUGUGUCUGUAAACCUUUUAUCUGCAGAUUCACAAGUGUAUCAUUAACUGGCUGGUUCCUCCAUCAUAUUAUCACACUGGUAGAGUGCUCUGAAUAGAUUAUUCAUAGUGCCUGAUAACUGUGUGGGAUGUCUGUGUAGGAGUGGGGGCAGAGGCAGGAUCUGCAGAUCUACUGUAGCUCGACAACCACCAGCAGCUGACGCCUUUAUCACAUUUGUUACAGGGGCCUUUGGCGGAACCAUCGUCAACUUCAAAGAAGUAAAAACGAUCCGAGUUCUUGCUGCCUGUCCAAAUCCUUAUGACAUUAGUUUAGUUUAGCCUUUUUUAGAAUUAUGGUCGUAAAUAAAGAUGAAUAAUUAAAAUGCAGUCAAUCCUGUUUGUGGCUGGAGCCAGUACCAGCUGUCACUGGGUGAGAGGCUGGACACCUUUUAUCACGUUGACAGGCAGCAGUUAACUUGACCACACACAUCUCUCUGCUAUUUUUUUUUUUCUUCACAUAAUGAUGUGAUUUUUGUGUCUCGUUUCCGUUUCACGACGCUGCUUCCAGUUGAUUUUAUUGCACCCCUGCGCCAUGAAUAAGCCUCAUGUAGUCGACUGUAAUUCAACCGAGCGCUUUCCCCUUCAACAUACAGUGCGCGCCCGCGGCGCUGCUCAUUAGCAUUCAUGAGGCUUUUUUUCAAGGGGCCGGGGGACUCGAAUGAGAUGUAAUCAUGUUUUAAAUUAACACAACAAAACUUUUAAAUACGGCGCUCAUCAAGGGUCAAACGGAGACGAAGCAGCCAGGUAGAACGAAGCAGGUGGCGGCGGGAAGGCCGCGGCGCCGAGCCGAUCCGAGCCGGGCCGGGCCGCGCGGCGGGAAUG